rnacentral:rRNA from 1 species
AUUGAACGCUGGCGGCAUGCUUUACACAUGCAAGUCGAACGGUAACAGGCCUUCGGGUGCUGACGAGUGGCGAACGGGUGAGUAAUGCAUCGGAACGUACCCAGAGGUGGGGGAUAACGCAGCGAAAGCUGUGCUAAUACCGCAUGUGAUCUGAGGAUGAAAGCGGGGGACCGAGCAGCAAUGUUUGGCCUCGCGCCUUUGGAGCGGCCGAUGUCCGAUUAGCUAGUUGGUGGGGUAAAGGCCUACCAAGGCGACGAUCCGUAGCUGGUCUGAGAGGACGACCAGCCACACUGGGACUGAGACACGGCCCAGACUCCUACGGGAGGCAGCAGUGGGGAAUUUUGGACAAUGGGCGCAAGCCUGAUCCAGCAAUGCCGCGUGCGGGAAGAAGGCCUUCGGGUUGUAAACCGCUUUUGGCAGGAACGAAACGGUGUCCGCUAAUACCGGGCGCUAAUGACGGUACCUGCAGAAUAAGCACCGGCUAACUACGUG